CAAAGUUGGCCAAAGUAGGGCUCGAGUCGAGGAAACCAGGUCCUGUGUUGCACGAUGGCAGGGCCUUGCUGCCAGCCUUGCAGCAACAUGGGGCCCACCACUGCCCUGUACGGCCCAGUGAUGUCACUGACAUCACAGAGCCUGCCCUUCUGGAUUGGUUGCCCACCACAACAUCAUCACAAUGUCCUCCCGGUAUCCCAGCAGCAAGAUGAUGUCACAGAGCUGACUGGAUAGCUGCUGCAUCCCAGUGCACACGAAUCUGAGGAGGCAAGUAGGAGUGCAUCACCAUGGACUCCCCUUCUUGCCCACAGUGUGAGGCAUGGUCCUGGGGGAAUGCAGGGGACAAGCAUUCCCCUGCCCAGCUCCUCAGCUACACCUCCUAACGCAGACACCAUUAUCAAAGAGGAAUUUACUUCAGUCUGAACUGAGGAAGAUCCUUUGCAUCGAUACACUGUGCUGCACAGACCAGUUGUAGUGACCAGAAGUCAUUUAAUCCAUAUUCAGUUAGUUGGUGCUGAGGAUGGAAUGGUUUCUGUGGGCCAUGCACCAGGACAGCCCAGGAUCUUGAUAGGAAAUGCUGCCUUGCUUCUGCUGCUGACAGUUGUGACAGGGUGCUGCUACGCACACACAUUCCAGUGAGUGAAAGCUUAGAUCUGUUUCUCUUUAAAUGAAAAGACAUGCAACCUCCUGCAGAAACAUCCUGAAGGAAAGCAGCAGCAAGGGGAUGGAGAGAAAGCAAAAGUGGUCAACAUUUCCAAAUCACCACUGGCUUUCCAAUGGACCUAACUGGUAGCAGCAGGAAGAGGCACUGUGUUACUGGGAAUUGCCAGUGGGGAGCUCCAGGCCUCACUCUGGCUAAUGGGCCUCAGCUCUCUUCCCUCAAAGAUGCAAUAGCCCAGAGCCCUCCAAAACUCAUCAAGAGUGAGAGCCCACAUUCUCAACCUAAAUAAUAGCUUCCAUGGGUUCUGCAGCAUCACGAGAGACUGAAAAACGGCCCAUGAAGCUGCCCUUCCUCCUCCUCUCUGUCACCCCUUCCACUGACACAGAUGCACUGUCUGGGCUGAAGGUGUCAGAAGGCCAGGGGUUGGCAGCAUGGGGGAAGGGAAGCCCUGGGAUCUUGAGAAAUUCUCCAUUUGUUUUCAUUUUUUCACCAGACAUCUCUAUUUGAGCUGCUUGGAAGGAUAUCUCAAUAACAGCCCUACUGGGCUUGAAGAGACAAAGACU